AAUCUGGGGCCCUCGGCCUCCGAGUUGUAAUUUGGAGAGGCAUCUUCGGAGGGGAGCGCCGGCCCAUGUUCCUUGGAACAGGACGUCGCAGAGGGUGAGAAUCCCGUGCCAGGCCGGCAGCCUCCUCUCGCGUGAAGGGCCUUCGACGAGUCGAGUUGUUUGGGAAUGCAGCUCCAAGUGGGUGGUAUAUUUCAUCUAAAGCUAAAUACCGGCGGGAGACCGAUAGCGCACAAGUAGAGUGAUCGAAAGAUGAAAAGCACUUUGAAAAUAGAGUCAAAAAGUACGUGAAAUUGUUGAAAGGGAAGCGCUUGAGACCAGACUCAGACCCGAGCAAACACCGCGCCCCUCGGGGCCGUGCAAUUGCCAGGGGCUGGGCCAGCAUCAGUUGGCGUGGCGGGACAAAGGCGCGGGCAAUGUGGCUCCCCUCGGGGAGUGUUAUUAGGCCCACGCUCAAUGCCGCCGACGUCGACUGAGGACCGCGCCUCGGCUAGGAUGCUGGCUUAAUGGCCUUCAGCGACCCGUCUUGAAACACGGA
rnacentral:rRNA from 1 species